AGUUUGAUGUGAACUUGAAACGAACGUAAGGUGUAUUCUUCUGCAAAAAUGAUCAGAUUGAUUUUCGCACUUUUCCUAACGUGUACCGUUUGCGUAGCGGUGGCGGAACCUCAUCACGGUGGCCAUGGAGGUACAAUUGUCGUGGGAGGAGCACCUGUGAUACUGCGACCAGCAAUACGACGCUCUCCAGUUUUAGUUCGACCACCCGUUAUCAUACGCCCCUUGGUGGCACGACCCGUGGUGCUAUUGGGAUGACAUAGGACGAAACUAAAGAUGCAAGACUAGGUUUACAUCCGAAUGUGAGUUCAAUAAAUUAGUGAAAUAAAUGUUUUUCAAAACCAAA